rnacentral:rRNA from 1 species
GAUGAACGCUGGCGGCGUGCCUAAUACAUGCAAGUCGAGCGAACAGACGAGGAGCUUGCUCCUCUGACGUUAGCGGCGGACGGGUGAGUAACACGUGGAUAACCUACCUAUAAGACUGUGAUAACUUCGGGAAACCGGAGCUAAUACCGGAUAAUAUAUUGAACCGCAUGGUUCAAUAGUGAAAGACGGUUUUGCUGUCACUUAUAGAUGGAUCCGCGCCGCAUUAGCUAGUUGGUAAGGUAACGGCUUACCAAGGCAACGAUGCGUAGCCGACCUGAGAGGGUGAUCGGCCACACUGGAACUGAGACACGGUCCAGACUCCUACGGGAGGCAGCAGUAGGGAAUCUUCCGCAAUGGGCGAAAGCCUGACGGAGCAACGCCGCGUGAGUGAUGAAGGUCUUCGGAUCGUAAAACUCUGUUAUUAGGGAAGAACAAAUGUGUAAGUAACUAUGCACGUCUUGACGGUACCUAAUCAGAAAGCCACGGCUAACUACGUG